ensembl:lincRNA Miat myocardial infarction associated transcript (non-protein coding)
UUUGCACUCCAGCCGCAGGAGCGAGGAGGAGCCGAGCUAGAUGCACAUGGGCGUGGGGACUCCGGUACAACACCAACCCACAAGGUUAGCAGCUGGAAUUCCGUCUGUUCUCAUCACACGGACAUGGCUGAUCUGUCUCAGUGGUACCUGGGGGCAAAGCAGGGAGCCGGGCGGUGGAGGCCAACAUUGUUACCAAGUUGGCUCUGUCUCAACACAGGGACUGAGCCUUCUGAGCCUCAAGAGUUCCUGCUGGUUCCCAGGUGGUGGAAGAGUGGAGAGAUUUGGGAAAGGUCACGACUAGCCUGCAAAGCAGCCUUGCAGAUAAGUAUCAUUUCACCAGCCUGCCUGCUCUCUGCUGGUGCGUGUGAGAAAGGGUCAGCUCUGGAAUCCCCAACGGGAGGGAGGAUGGCCGUCCUGUGACUCUGGCUCUUGAAGAUGUCAUUUGUAAGCUUGAACAGGCUCCUGGGUCUUGCAGACACAGGGGGACCUCCUCAGGGUUCCUCCACUCAGGAUCCUCCAGGAUCCUGGGACAGUAGGCUCUAAGAGCAGCUAUGAGAUGUCUCACCUUCCUUGGCUCGGGGUUUGGAGGACAGAUGUAGCAUGACUGUCAGGAAAGAGCAAACCUGAGUCCUGGUGUGGAAUGCAGGCACUCCCUUCUCUCUUCCACCACCCUGGUGACUUGCAGUGGUCCACACAAGCUCUGCACACUUUGGCCACCUGUUUUUUUGUUGUGGGAGUCACAGGAAG